UCUAGUCUACCAAAUAAUUUUUCAGGACCAUGAGAGUUCAGGCUACCAACAGGAAUGAGAGCCACAUGAUGCAGAACAUAAUUUCUACACUAAAGUCUCCCCCAAGGUCUCGCCGUCUCGGUGGCUCUUCAUAUCACGUCACGAGAAAUUAAUGCUCGGACAUGGCCCACCGUAACUGUAAGUUAGUGGAUUUGUCCAACC
rnacentral:lncRNA from 1 species